UUCUUCUUGUAGCAAGAGGAGCUUAUUGACAAAGCCUCCGUAUUGAGAUCAAUCUGCAUCCGCCAAUCACGGGAGGGAGGGGCUUCCAUAAAUAGGUAUGGACCGUUGGGGUUCUACGCUGACGUCGAUCCAGGGUUGCUGUGACGUCCCUGUCAGGUGCGGACCAUUUCACGGGCUCUUGUGCCCUCGUGCCGCAAGGGUUUUGUAGCCGCGGCUUUUACCGCCGCCGGUAGCAGCGGUGGUGGCUCGUAGCGACGCGGAGUAAAUGACGACUGCCUGAUCGUUAGGAACAGUGCUAGCCGGAACCGGAAGAACGCUGCUGUUUUGCCUUGUGUCAGUCUGCCAUCAACAACGCGGACUUCUACCGAUUCCUACGGGGAGCCUGAACGCCGCUUCCACCGACGCACCGGCUCCGCGGCUGUGAACGGUCCUUCGCGUUCGGGUGUACUACCUGGCCGGCUCACCCAUAAAAGACACUAAUCGUCCGGCAUCAUCAAACGCCGGCAUUGGGCAGCGGCUAUCUGAGCCGCCGCUACAGCCCCGUUUAUUUUGAUUUCUUUCUUGACUAAGUUGAUUCUUUUUGUUUGAAUAAUUAUUCCCCUUUGUUUGUAGGUGCUGUCACGGCCCAGGUGGUGGGGUCGGUGUCCUCGGGCGUGGUUACCCUCUUUUAUUACUGCGGUGCAUUUGAGGCCUCCCGUGUUUGUGAACCCUCACGUGUGUGUGUGUGUGAGAGUGAUUGGGGUGCCUCCUUUAUUUUAUUCUCUGGGAUCCACACCCGUACCGGGCUUCCUUCUCUCUCACCACUGGUAAGCCACAGCCCUACUUGACAUUGUUGUUUGUUACCCCCAGUCCUUGAAACCCAUAUAUACUGUUAACUUAAUAAAAUAUGUUUUUUAUACUGGAACCACGUCUCUGGCUAUAGUACCAACGGAACUACAUGCUCGAACCCUGACCACCUCUCUCAUAAGGGUUAAAUCUUUGGGUGGAAUUCCCAAGGUGGCGUUGCAAGAAGAUAAGGAAAAAUAAUGGGUCAAUAAUGGAACUUUGGGUAACACAUAGUUCUUUCAUUUCAAGAAUUUAUAUUAUAGAAGUAAUGACAGGCCGUAUCAAGUCUGCAACCAUUUUAAAAAAAUUGUAUUUUAAAGCAGGCUCAUUGUAGACACUGAUACUGAUGGAAAGUAUUUUAUCAGUCUGCCAUCUUAAUGCCAACUUUGUUCAUUAGCCAAUAAUGACUGCCGUGUUCCCACAACUCAUUUAAUAUAUAAAUGAAAAUUGAUAAUAAAAAAGCUCUUCCAUAGUGCUCAUUUAGGGAGUCACUGUCUUGUCCUGGUUGAGGAGUGCAAGGUCAGAGGUCAAAGCAGAAAGUGCCAACCUGGCAGACGGAGGUCUCAAAAGGAUGAGAGUUGGCGACACAUCAAGCACCAUCCAACACUCACGCUUUGUUCCUUAUGUUCACAUUAUUGUUAGGACACCACACGUUGGAUGUGAUUGGAUCUUGUGUUGCGGCGAGAGGACCCGCUCUUCCUCUAAGCCAGUUCAGGGCCAAUAGAAAUCUUCCCUUUUUUAUCCAACAAAAAUUAUGAAACCUAAUGUUUUUGCAAACGCAGCGCUGUUACUUGACCUGUGAUCAGACAAAUAAAUCUACCAGAACGAGAGAAUUCGUUUGCCUGAAUUCUUCCAGACGUCCCCAACAGGGCUUCACCUUUUUGAUCACGUUCGUUCGUUCGAUGCAUUCAUUCCUUCUCUAUUUCAAAAUGAACACACACUAAAUUGAAGAACCUUUUGAGUGUUUGUUAGAGAGAGACCCAGAGAUGCUCACGAGUCCCAAAGCUCGAGGUCGAGUCUGAAGUCUUUCGAGGACGAGUCUGAAGUCGAGUCUGAAGUCACCGUGUGUUCGACUCGAGUCGCACUCGAGUCAGAGUCUCCAACUCGAGUCCCCAUCUCUUAUCAACGUCCCUUUUACCGUAAAAAAAACAUACCAACAACUUUUUACUCCUCCUUUACUCUUUACUUAAUGUUUUUUUUGGUGGUUUUUCCCAUAAAAUGAAAAUACGAA